CUCCCAUUUUAAUUGGGCAAAACAAAAUAUUCAUAAAACAUUAAAAUUUUCCUUUCCUCCAAAUCAGAAAAAAGUCGGUCAAAGUGAAGAGCUGUAGAACACGCUGGAGCUGAAGAACACGCUGAAGAGCUGAAGCUGAAGAGCUCUAGUUCUCACUGAUGGUCUCUAGUUGUCGCUGAAGAUUUCCGUCCUAGUUCUCGCUGAAGAUUUCCGUCAGUGUGGUGCAGGUGAAUUGAUGAGCCUGUUGAUGGCCCUAAUGCGUCACACAUAACUCCAGAAGCUUUAGAUAGGUGUGAGGCAAGUCUGGAAGAUAUUUUUAACGGGCGGCUAUUUGAUUUGCUUGAUGCAGCCUUAUCCGAUACUGUUUCCAGAUUUCUUGUUGAUAUUCAGCCAUUCAGAGAUAUGGUUGAAGGAAUACGUAUGGACUUGUGGAAAUUCUGAUACAGCAACUUCGAUGAGUUGUAUCUCUAUUGUUACUAUGUCGCUGGUACAGUAGGAUUGAUGAGUGUUCCAGUUAUGGGCAUUGCACCUGAAUCAAAGGCAACAACAGAGAGUGUAUAUAAUGCAGCUUUCGCUUUAGGGAUCGCAACUCAACUAACCAAUAUACUCAGAGAUGUAGGAGAAGAGUAAGUAUGAAGCUAUAUUUAAUUCACAUUGAUCAUUUCUCUAG